rnacentral:lncRNA from 10 species
GCUUAUUUUAUCCAGGAGUUCUAGGUAAGACCACUUUUUCAAAUAUCCUCUGAACGUUGACUUAGGUGCACACACCUGUGCUUCCAUUGGCAACAAAAGCUUUGAAUGCACAGGACUUCCACGGCAUGAAAUGCAUUUACAUACAUUACAUAAGAGAGAAGCAAUGAGCAAGUCUGUUGCUGGGAGAGGCUCACAUCCUUCUCACCAAAUCAAUCUGUAACUUUCAAAUAGCUCUGCUGUAUUUCCUAGCAACAGGAGUAAACACUGUACUACAUCCAGUGCCCAAGAUUUGUAACCACGUUAAUCUGUUAGAAGCCUAGAUGUGUGACUGGAGAUGCCUCCUGUCCAUUCAAUCUGACUCCAAUGUGGUUCUGCAGCACUGGACAAAGAUGGGAGAUUGAAACAGGAGCCCCUGCGAUGGGGGAACAGAGCCAGGGAGCAGGGGUUGGACAGAACCCAGGUUUGAGAAAACAACCUUGUGAACCUUCUAUUGGAGCAGCAAUAAAGAUCUGAGCUAAGUGUCGAGGGAGGCUGAGGAGGUGGUCACUAAGUCUGUCUUAGGCAUCCCAGGGUCUCCUCAGAGUCCAAGCCUGAAGUCCACUGCAGGGGUCACCAGCCACCUGUGGCCACAUUGGAAUGUGGCCAUUCUGAAUUGAGGUGAAGGAGGAGAGUGAGGUGAGACCUUCCCAGCCCUUGACUGCUCUUGCACUGGACACAUUCCAGGAAGCUCUUGUGGCAGAAGCAGCCACUUAACUUACUUUUAACAAGAGAAGCUGAAGGCUGAGGGAAGUCAGGACCAACAGAGGAUCCAAAUUUCAGUGGCACAAGUCUUAAGCUUCAUUUGGUUGCAUGAAUGAGUGCGGAAGCAGCAUGAAGUAGUGGUGAUACAAACCUGGGUUCUGUGUUUAAUUCUAUUCUCAGUACUUUCCCAGUGGGAGACUGUGAGUUCCCUCUCUGAACCUCGUUCUCCUCCAUGGCUUAAAACUGGACUCAUAAUGCAUGGCUUAGCUAUAAUGUACCUUUCAAAAAGGGCUGGCAUCCGGUAAACACUGAAUAAAUGGUUACAUGUCAAACACAGUAAACAUUCAACAAUGGCUAAUAUCUUCCUUCUGCAUCAGCUUUUAAAACAGAUUUUUUAACCUGGAGUCCAAGGAGUCCCAGGAAAUCCACAGACGAGAUUCAAUGGAUCCUUGAAAUCCCUAAAAUUAAAUACAAAGCGGGGUAUGUGUGGACAUCUUUUCUCUUCAAGGAAAGAAUCCAUAGCUUUCAUAUGAUGCUCUUAAGACUCUCAGACUGAAAACAGUUUAAGAACUAUUGAGUUUCUGUGGCUUCCAAAGUGUUUAGCUCCUUCUAUUUAUCUAUGGAAUAGCUCUGUGAAUGACUCUCAAAACCAAGCUUUUCUGUGCCUCCUCAAGAGGCCUGCAUUUUAUAUGCAGCAGUACAACUUCCUUCCAUAAGACGCUUUUAUUUUCUGGCAGCAGCAGUAUCACAGGAAGAUGACUGGAAUUUAUAAGAUUGAUGACCAAAGAAGGCAGCUAUAAUGUUUUAUUCUCAAGAUGAUGGUUACUCAUCUUAGAAUAAAAACAACAACAACAAAAAAUAACAGAUGAAUGGGAAGAGCCCAAUCAAAGCUUUAUUCUACUCCUCAACAACUCAGGUGAGUGUCUGGCCACUUGGCAGUCGCCAGGAGGAAGGAGCUUAGUGGCAGACAAACUGCUUCAAAUCUCUAAAUCUUUGUUUCCUCAUCUGUUAAAAAAAAAAAAAAAAAAAAAAGAUGAUAACAGUGACGCCUCCUACCUAGGGCUGCUGUGAGAACUAAAUAAGAAAGUAAUUGUAAGGCAUCUUUUAAGUACUCAAAACAGAGUGCCUCAUAAAUAUUAAUUAUUAAAUAUCCUCUCUGAUGAUAGGGGGAAAAGGAUUCCUUAUCUGGUCUCUGACCCAUAGAUUUUAGCCUGGAGAUUUACUCUGGGUCACUGAUAUUUUCCAGCCUCCUCCUUAAGGUUGUUAUUAGUGACCAAGUAAUAAGUAAGUAUAUAAACCAUUGAGAAAACUGUUGAAAAAGUGUCUGAGCAGCAGCUUCAAAGAGAAUCUGUCUUCAUGUCCCAGUAUCCUAAGAGGCAAAUGUGAAAAUCAAUUUAAAGGAAAUAGAAUAUACCUAAAGAAAGUCACCUGAAAAAAUGAAAGAUGAAUGAUUCAACACACAUUUUUCUCUCAUUUAUUUAAAAAUUUUUGAGAUACAUGGUGGGCAAGGCACUGUACUGAGCACAGGAUGUGCAAAGAUAAGGAAGUAAGUCCAGCUCUCAAGACAUUUAGUCUACAGAGGGAGACACACAUGUAUAUCCAACGCCAUACGUACCACAGGAUAAAGUGUGAUGUGGGGAGAGGCUGGGAGGGGAUGUUCAGCAGGGGCUUCUUGAAAAAGCAACACUUGAGAUGAGUUUGGAAGGAUAAGUAAAUGUUUAAUAGUUCAUAGUUUGAGAAAGAAGAAACAAUAUUCCACAGAGACAACAGCCCAUGUAAAAGCACAUGCAAUGAAGCAUUUAAGCAUGGGGAUAAUAUGGGCAGCUAGAAGAAGGCGUUGCUGAACAUACCAGCACCUACCCAUCCCCUGCACCCACAGGAGGAGGCAGGACUCACCUCAGAGAGAAUCUUGGAAUUCAUGGUAGGAGCCUGUACUUUUCUCCAGGACUAUGACAAGGUUUGGAAUGGUUCUUAGCAGGGAGUUAUAUAAUUCAAUUUUAUCUAUUCUUUAGAAAGAGCAAGCAGGCAGCGGUGAGGAGGAUGGAUUGAAAGCUGAGAGACUGAAGGCAGCAUUUGUAGAGGUGACUUGGGAAGAGUGAAACAUGAAAGGAAGUGGAGCAGGAGGUCUUGGUGACUGAUUAGGUGGAGGAAGAAAGGGAGAAGGUCAGAUCGAGAUCAUUCCCAGGUCUCUGGCUUGGAGGUGUAGUGAGAGGAUGAUAUGCCUGUCAGGGAAAACAGGUGUUAUAGUAUUUAAUAGAUAUCUGCUGUUUCUGCACGCACAGCAUCUCCUAUCUCUUCUUUUCAAUAUUUCCUUUUAAAAACUACCCCUUCCCUGCUCUCAGGUUAUAUGGUUUAGAAGAGUUUUGCUGACUAGUCUCCCAUGUACUUCCUUCACUCCCAUACACUCCUUCCCACCUGCCGUCACACAUACCACUCUCCCCUUCCAAAAGCCUCCAGGACUGGGCUCAUAAUCAAAGCUGAGUCAAGUGGCAUGGUCCAAAUCUCCGGCCAUAGGGUCUGGUUCAAGCAUAUGCAUGUGAUCAAAGUGGUCUAAUUAAAGUUAAUCCUGAAUUCUCUUUUUCUCAGGAGUUAAGCCUAAAGCUGCAGAUGAAAAUUUUGCCACCAUGAAGAAAAGAAGAAAUCAGAAUUGGAUUCUUUCUGAACUUUUCCUUUACAGUAGCCAGUAUAUGCCCUUUCCUACUUGAGCAAGUAUAAACUGGGUUUCUGUGAUUUGCAACCAAGUGUCCUGACAAACACAAGGAUGAAAGACAACUGUGUCUCAAUAAAGGAAAAAUAGUUUAUUUUUAUGAGUGGUGGAUUUAAAAAACCUACAUUACUGUGACAAGAGUACCUUAAAACAUUUAAGUCUACAAAAGGCACUUAGGGACUUUAUAGCAAACUCUACACUUAUAAUGAAAAGCCAGACCAGAUCAUUUUAAAAAAACGUUACUGCACGAGAUAAUGGCACAUCCACUCGUUCAAUUAACAUUUAUUGAGUGUCUUCAGGGGUUUUAGACUUGUGCAAUAAAAAUGAUAAAAACGUAUUCUUUGGUUUGAGCUGGUCCAUCCAAGGUCGUUCCAUAAAGAGCAGCUGUGUAUGCUGUUCAGACUAAUUGUGUGAAGCUGGAGAGGCCAGGUGUUUCUGUCUGGCCCAGCAGCUGCACUUUGCGGUAAGGGCACCACCUGAAUUUCAGUCUGGCCAUAAAAUGAGGCUGAAGAAACAGCACCUUGCAUGAGCUUUUAGGUGAAAGGCAGAACAG